AACGAACGCUGGCGGCAGGCCUAACACAUGCAAGUCGAGCGCCCUUUCGGGGGAGCGGCGGACGGGUGAGUAACGCGUGGGAAUAUGCCCUUCUCUACGGAAUAGCCUCGGGAAACUGAGAGUAAUACCGUAUACGCCCUGUGGGGGAAAGAUUUAUCGGGGAAGGAUUAGCCCGCGUUGGAUUAGGUAGUUGGUGGGGUAAUGGCCUACCAAGCCGACGAUCCAUAGCUGGUUUGAGAGGAUGAUCAGCCACACUGGGACUGAGACACGGCCCAGACUCCUACGGGAGGCAGCAGUGGGGAAUCUUAGACAAGGGGGGCAACCCUGAUCUAGCCAUGCCGCGUGAGUGAUGAAGGCCUUAGGGUUGUAAAGCUCUUUCAGCCGGGAAGAUAAUGACGGUACCAGCAGAAGAAGCCCCGGCUAACUCCGUG
rnacentral:rRNA from 1 species